AUUGAACGCUAGCGGGAUGCCUUACACAUGCAAGUCGAACGAGUGGCGAACGGGUGCGUACUGGAUCGGAAUGUGCCCAGUAGCGGGGGAUAACUACGCGAAACGUAGCCAAUACCGCAUACUAUCGGAGCGGCCGAUGUGGGAUUAGCUAGUUGGGGGGGUAACGGCUCACCAAGGAGACGAUCCGUAGCUGGUUUGAGAGGACGACCAGCCACACUGGGACUGCGACACGGCCCAGACUCCUACGGGAGGCAGCAGUGGGGAAUUUUGGACAAUGGGGGAAAGCCUGAUCCAGCCAUCCCGCGUGUGCGAUGAAGGUUUUCGGGUUGUAAAGCACUUUUGGAAGGAAAGCGGUACCUGCAGAAUAAGCACCGGCUAACUACGUGCCAGCAGCCGCGGUAAUAC
rnacentral:rRNA from 1 species